CCUACGGGGGGCAGCAGUGGGGGAUAUUGCACAAUGGGGGAAACCCUGAUGCAGCGACGCCGCGUGAGUGAUGAAGUAUUUCGGUAUGUAAAGCUCUAUCAGCAGGGAAGAAAAAAGACGGUACCUGACUAAGAAGCUCCGGCUAACUACGUGCCAGCAGCCGCGGUAAUACGUAGGGGGCAAGCGUUAUCCGGAUUUACUGGGUGUAAAGGGAGCGUAGGCGGCAAUACAAGUCGGAAGUGAAAUACCCGGGCUCAACCUGGGAAUUGCUUGGGAAACUGUAUGGCUAGAGUACAGGAGAGGAAAGCGGAAUUCCUAGUGUAGCGGUGAAAUGCGUAGAUAUUAGGAAGAACACCAGUGGCGAAGGCAGCUUUCUGGACUGAAACUGACGCUGAGGCACGAAAGCGUAGGGAGCGAACAGGAUUAGAUACCCCAGUAGUC
rnacentral:rRNA from 1 species